rnacentral:rRNA from 1 species
GACGAACCACACAAACGUUAUUCGGAAUUACUGGGCUUAAAGCGCGCGUAGGCGGCCACGCAAGUCGGGUGUGAAAUCCCGGAGCUCAACUCCGGAACUGCACUCGAAACUGCGCGGCUUGAGGUAGGUAGGGGGAGAUCGGAAUUCCUGGUGUAGCGGUGGAAUGCGCAGAUAUCAGGAGGAACACCGGUGGCGAAGGCGGAUCUCUGGGCCUUACCUGACGCUGAGACGCGAAAGCUAGGGGAGCGAACAGG